rnacentral:rRNA from 1 species
GAUGAACGCUGGCGGCGUGCCUAAUACAUGCAAGUCGAGCGAACAGACGAGGAGCUUGCUCCUCUGACGUUAGCGGCGGACGGGUGAGUAACACGUGGAUAACCUACCUAUAAGACUGGGAUAACUUCGGGAAACCGGAGCUAAUACCGGAUAAUAUAUUGAACCGCAUGGUUCAUUAGUGAAAGACGGUUUUGCUGUACCUUAUAGAUGGUUCCGCGCCGCAUUAGCUAGUUGGUAAGGUAACGGCUUACCAAGACAACGAUGCGUAGCCGACCUGAGAGGGUGAUCGGCCACACUGGAACUGAGACACGGUCCAGACUCCUACGGGAGGCAGCAGUAGGGAAUCUUCCGCAAUGGGCGAAAGCCUGACGGAGCAACGCCGCGUGAGUGAUGAAGGUCUUCGGAUCGUAAAACUCUGUUAUUAGGGAAGAACAAAUGUGUAAGUAACUAUGCACGUCUUGACGGUACCUAAUCAGAAAGCCACGGCUAACUACGUG